rnacentral:rRNA from 1 species
UUACGCUGUUAUCCCUAAGGUAAUUUAGUCUUAUAAUCAACAAAAAUGGAUCAAAUAUAUAUAAAUAAAUAUAAAAAAAAAUAAAAAGAGUUAAUUAAAUCUUUCCAUCACCCCAACAAAAUAAAUUUUCAAAUUAAAAAAAUAUCAUACAAAAAAAAUAAAAAUAUAUAUAAACUCUAUAGGGUCUUCUCGUCCCAAAAAAAUAUUUAGGCAUUUUAACCUAAAAUUUAAAUUCAAUAAAUAAAUUAAAGACAGUUUACACCUCGUCAAACCAUUCAUUCCAGCCUACAAUUAAAAGACUAAUGAUUAUGCUACCUUUGCACGGUCAAAAUACCGCGGCCCUUCAAUACUCAGUGGGCAGGCCAUACAUCAAAAUAUAUUCAAGAAGAGAUGUUUUUGAUAAACAGGCG